AUCACUCAGUUGUCACAAUCCAAUUUAGGAUCGUGAUCGACGCUUCAGAGCAAGUGCUCCCAAAUAAGCCUUAUCGGUAUUUUAUAGAAAAACGGACAGAGUUUUCCCAAUUUUUGAACUAUUCAAAAAAAUUUCUGUCUCAUGAACAAGUAACACCCAACCAAUAUUCACCUAAAUCAAUCAAAAACUUCAUCAACUAACCACAAACAAUUCUCCACCACUAUUAAUCAACUAUUUGCAGCACAAUAAUAUUAAAUCCAUCUCUAAAAUAUGAUAAGAAAGUAUAAUACUAGUCACAUGUCUAAAUAAUGAACCAAUACUCACGAUACUAAUGAAAAUGACCAACGGAGCGACUCUAAGAGUUUUACAGAAAAUGCCUGUAACAAAUAAAUAAAAAAUUUGCCCACGUGAAUAAAUGUGGGGCUCACCAAGAACUAUCAAAUUGUGCGCUCUAACUAACGAGAUCCUGCUUGCGUCAACUGAUGUCUCUGGAAAAAAAAUAGCGAGAAGUGAGUCGCUAGCUCACUGAGUAAUAACACUUACCCACAACCAUUUUUAAUUAGGGACAAGUCAGAAAAUAUGCUAGUAUAUCAAACAUAAAAUAUCAUAAGAAUGCCCUUUUAAAAACAAUAAACAAUUUUCAGUCUCAUCAUGUUUUUCAUGUAAUAUAAUUCAAUUGAUAAUUCAGUAAUAAACUUGAUGAACACUGUGUCAUAUCAAAUCUUUGUGUUUGGGAGGUUUACAAGAAAAGAUCAUGUAAUCUAUAUUACUGUGUGGACCCCUUCAUAAAAGAAGUCAAAUAUAACUGUAGGUCCUUACUCGAGGGAAAACUAUAACUGUAUACUAGUUAUACCUUCACACUAGCGAGGGGUGUAACUGUAAUCGGUAAUCUGUAAAUACAAGGUGCACCAGGUCUUACGAACCCGCUGUUAGCUACGGGAUCCUUCAAAGUCUCCUCCCAUUUAUACUCUUUCUUGUAAAUAGUAAAUACUCGUACAAAAGCAUUUUCAAAAUAAUAAAGGGCAUAUCAUUCCUUAUCAAAUCUUGUAAUUUUAUUUCGGUAAUAGUAAUCAUGUCUCAAGUAACAGUAAAACAUGUCUAGUAACAAUUAAUACUUCAAAUAACUGUAACAUCUCAAGUAACGGUAAAACAUAUCUAGUAACGGUGAAAAUAUUUAGAUUAAUCGGUAAACAUCUCAAGUAAACUGUUCGGUAUUAUAUCAAGUAAAGGACUUGUCCCACAUGCAAUUUCAAAGCAUCGGUAAUACAUUUAUUUUGAAAAUCAUAUAUAAACCAUGCAGGUUAUGAAAACACAAAUUAUGGUAAGAUUACUACUCACAAUACUCGUAUCGAAAUACCAAACGCGUCACCUCGAGCACUUCGUUCGAUUUCUUCCACUACCUAUAUUAUUACAUAACCAAUAGACAAAUCAACAUUUUGAACUACCUGUAAAGCCGAAUCAAUCCUGUGAAGACAAGGGUAUUGUUCUUAUAUUUGGACUAAUAGUAUUAUAUGUAGAGGACCCAAAAGAAACUGAUUUGUUAGACCAAAAUAGCUAACAAUACCCUUGUCUUCACUUGGUGUUUCACAAGCAUUCAUAAUUUCUACACCAAAGUGCUUGCUAAUGGACUUAUAGAAUCUUCAUUCAUCCAAUAGAAAAUUCAUAACCGUGUUAUCUUGAAAAUACCUUAAAUUCCUUUUUCCUUGUUUCUACCCUUAGUAAAAUAAUAAUUAGUAAUAGGAUAAGUAUUGGGUCAAGGAAGAGAAUCUCAAAGAAAUUUACCAAGGAAAUAGAUAUUUCAUAUUACCUUCGUUCUUCUACACAGAAGGUAACUCAAGAAUGACCUUGUGGAUUUCUCAAAUCUACAGUCACUUUAAUUGGCUUCCAGUUGUGAGAAGCUAACAGCUUCUAUGUUUGCUCUUCGUCUGCCUCACCUAUCUCUCUCAAAAAAAAAUUCUUUCCUCAUGGUGUUAGUUUGCGUCGAAGAUAUGUGCUUCGUUCCCAAUCCCUAAUUUUUCGAUCAUUGUGUUUGUAGAGAAUAUAAUGUCUCUAAGUCUCUUGUUGGUUGGGUUACGAUUCCUUUAUCGUAAGUGUCGUUUCUUUUUUUU
rnacentral:lncRNA from 1 species